rnacentral:misc_RNA from 1 species
GAUGAAGAACGCAGCGAAAUGCGAUACGUAAUGUGAAUUGCAAAUUCAGUGAAUCAUCGAGUCUUUGAACGCACAUUGCGCCCCCUGGUAUUCCGGGGGGCAUGCCUGUCCGAGCGUCAUUGCUGCCCUCAAGCACGGCUUGUGUGUUGGGCCCCGUCCUCCGAUCCCGGGGGACGGGCCCGAAAGGCAGCGGCGGCACCGUGUCCGGUCCUCGAGCGUAUGGGGCUUUGUCACCCGCUCUGUAGGCCCGGCCGGCGCUUGCCGAUCAACCCAAAUUUUUUAUCCAGGUUGACCUCGGAUCAGGUAGGGAUACCCGCUGAACUUAAGCAUAUCAAUAAGCGGAGGA